GGAGGAUUGAAAAAAGGGCAUUCUUAUAGGACAGAAAUAGAACAGGGGAGGGGACAAAUGAGGCAAUAAAAGCUGGCCACCCCAGCCAGCAGCUGCAACCUGCUUGGGUCAGUUUCCAAGCUGUAGAAGCUUUGAUCUUUUGCUCUUCACAAUAAAUCAUGCUGCUGCUCACUCUCUGGGCAGUGCCGCCUUUAAGAGCUGUAACACUCACCAGGAAGGUCUUCAAGGCCUGUGGCUUUAUUCUUGAAGUUAGCCAGACCACGAACCCACUGGCAGGAGCCAACUCCGGACACAGUAUGUCUGAAAUUUAUUAAGAGUAGAUUUUAACGCUCUUGCCACAAAACAAUAAGCAUGUGAGGUCAUGAAUAUGUCAACUGCUGUAUUUAGCUGUUCUACAGUGUGCACAUAUAUAAAAACAUCACGUUGUAUUCCCGAAAUAUAUACGGGUUUUCUUUGUCAAUUUAUGAAAACGAAUUAUUUUUUCAAAUGUGCAUAAAAAAUUUGGGACAAUACUUGAUGAUUUGUGAAUAUUUAAUAAUGUCAACUAUUAUUUUUACAAAGCGUUUUAGUAGUAAAUAUAGUAGUCAAUAGCAUUUAAAACUACCCAAAUAUUCCUUAUAGGAAAAUUCUUAAAUAAAAUAUAUCAUAUCUAUAUUGGCAA
rnacentral:lncRNA from 1 species